AGAUUUUCAUCGAUUCGAUAAAGUCCUCUGGACUAAACCAAAAUCCAUUUUCAGGCAUCGAAUUCUUGCAGUUCAUACAGAGUCCGGACAUGGCAGAAGAGGAACCCGGAGAGGCUAUCCGGCCGGAAUUUCCGAUGGGGCGAAUAAAGAAGAUAAUGAAGCUGGACAAGGACAUUGGUAAAGUGAAUUCAGAAGCGCUGUUUUUAGUCUCAUGCGCCACUGAGCUUUUCCUCGAGCUUCUCGCUGAAAAAUCUUCCGAAGUCGCCGCCGAGAAGAAACGGAAGACCGUGAAGCUUGAACACAUCCGAAUCGCCGUCAAAAGGCAUCAAUCGAUCGGUGAUUUUCUCCUCGAUUCGCUUCCUCUUCCUUCUCAGCCGUCAGAUGCUCCGGCGAAGGACGAGAAUCGCACUCGCGUUGUCGUUGAUAAAGUGGCUCCUGAAGGAACCCGCCGAAUCGAUGAUUUCUUUCGCCGGCCAGAGAAGACAGCGUCCGCGGAGACCAACGAGACAUAGGCGCUCAAUCUUCGACAGUGAGCUCUAAGGAGAUAUUGGGCCUGAAAAUGUGGAUACCACCGAAGCUGUUUCAUCUCUGACCCGAGAAUCGAGGUUGUGUCGACGAGCUAUAUUUUGUCCAGGAUUCCUUGAGAAAGCCUUCUGUUCAAAGCUAUGGCAUUGCUAUAACCUCCAUUAAUGCUAGCAUUUGAAAGACGCCGACUGCUGGUGCUUGGCCUUGGUCCAUAGAAGCUUUCUGGCUCGAUUAGAAUAUGAGUUUGCACUUUUUUCUUCUCCUGCCAGAAGAAAACCAUCAUUAAAACCAACCUACCAACAGAUGGUAAAUUAUUUUGCAGCAGAGUAGAUCAAAUUAUUGUUGAGGAUUGUGUUGAGAAUGGUUGGGAGGGAGUCCCACAUUGGCUAAUUAAGGGGAUGAUCAUGGGUUUA